rnacentral:rRNA from 1 species
GUGGGGAAUCUUAGACAAUGGGGGCAACCCUGAUCUAGCCAUGCCGCGUGAGUGAUGAAGGCCUUAGGGUUGUAAAGCUCUUUCAGUGGGGAAGAUAAUGACGGUACCCACAGAAGAAGCCCCGGCUAACUCCGUGCCAGUAGCCGCGGUAAUACGGAGGGGGCUAGCGUUGUUCGGAAUUACUGGGCGUAAAGCGCACGUAGGCGGAUCGGAAAGUUGGGGGUGAAAUCCCAGGGCUCAACCCUGGAACUGCCUUCAAAACUAUCGGUCUGGAGUCCGAGAGAGGUGAGUGGAAUUCCGAGUGUAGAGGUGAAAUUCGUAGAUAUUCGGAGGAACACCAGUGGCGAAGGCGGCUCACUGGCUCGGUACUGACGCUGAGGUGCGAAAGCGUGGGGAGCAAACAGGAUUAGAUACCCUAGUAGUCC